rnacentral:lncRNA from 1 species
UCAAACACCUAUUUGGAACAUCCUACAGGUGAGCAGGCUCAUUGGGAACAGGUGGGUGCCAUGAUUGGGUAUAAAAGCAGCUUCCCCAAAAAUUCUCAGUCAUUCACAAGCAAAGAUGGGGCGAGGUUCACCACUUUGUGAACAACCAUCCGGACUGUUAUUGACGCAAAGUUCAAAAGCCAGCAUCUGUGAUGGUAUGGGGGUGCAUUAGUGUCCAAGGCAUGGGUAACUUACACAUCUGUGAAGGCAACAUUAAUGCUGAAAGGUACAUACAGGUUUUGGAGCAACAUAUGCUGCCAUCCAAGCAACGUCUUUUUCAUGGACGCCCUUCCUGCUUAUUUCAGCAAGACAAUGCCAAGCCACAUUCUGCACGUGUUACAACAGCAUGGCUUCGUAGUAAAAGAGUGCAGGUACUCGACUGGCCUGCCUGCAGUCCAGACCUGUCUCCCAUUGAAAAUGUGUGGUGCAUUAUGAAGCGUAAAAUACGAUCAACAGAGACCCCGGACUGUUGAACAACUGAAGCUGUACAUCAAGCAAGAAUGGGAAAGAAUUCCACCUUCAAAGCUUCAACAAUUAGUCUCCUCAGUUCACAAACGUUUAUUGAGUGUUGUUAAAAGGAAAGGUGAUGUAACACAGUGGUAAACAUGCCCCUGUCCCAACUACUUUGGCACGUGUUGCUGAUCUAAUCCUUAAAAUCUCACGUAAAUGUUUUUAAAAUCCUCAAAUUUGACCUCUGCAGAGCUUCAUGGAAGUGAUGGAGUCUCACCUGAGCUGAGAGUGGAGCUGCAGCUGAUUGAAAACAUCUGUCCUCUCUGAAAAAUAACUCCUAGCCUCCCCAUUAGUUCGGGUCGUGGGCCCGAGAGCUCAUUAGCUAAGGACGGUGGCCUCUGAGGGAUGAAAAAAAAAAACAAAGAGAGACUUUAUGAGAGAAACCGGACGACUUCCAUGAGUUCCACCAGAGAACGUACAUCGGCAGAAAGAGAGAAAAUCACUGGAUGUAAACUCAGACACUCAGAGGAUGAAAUCAGGUCUAACUGGUUUCAGCUGCAGAGAUCCAGUUUUUCAGAGUGGAGAGGCUCUGAUCAAAACCAGGACGUAUAGACUCAGUGAAAACCCGACUCUCUCGGCCUCGUUUGACCUGAAAAAACAAACUUAUGACUAACAACAGACGGACAGCAAAAACCACAGACAUACACACUCAGAUAGGAGUGUGUGUGUCUGUGAUGAUUCAGGUGAUGACAGCAGCCUGUUUGUGUUUUCGGGCUCCCUCAGGACCAUGACGACACAGUUGGGAUCAUCAGGAGGUUAGACGAAGAAGAGGAGCGCUCGCCAAAAAUGAGAGGAAAACUGUGUCAUUCUGUGAUUAAUCUAAAGCGGAGAAAACUUCACAGUGUUUAAGAAGCAGGGAGGUUCAAAUGUGCAGAAACAGGAAUAUUUGGUGACAUCUAGAAGUCGGAUUCUAGAUUAAACGCUCCUUUGCUCACUCUAUAAGUCAUUGAAGUGACGGUGGCCUCUAAGGACAAAAAACUCCUUUGAUAGAUGGUAAUACUUGAUGAAUGGAGGAUCAGCGUUAUUAUGUGUCAGUGUCAGAAAGUUGUGUUUGUUUGAAAUGCUGCUUUAGCAGACUGAAUAAUCAUAAGUGGUCUCACUUACACUUAUUUUACUCACCUUUCAUUCUGUCUCCGUCUGGGAUACCUAUAAAGUAGCUUAGCAUGACUUUGACUAAAAAGAAAAAAAAUCCAUAUUUACCUCAACAUGGCAUCUUUGAAAACUCUCAUUAGCAGCUUGUCCACCUAUAGAAAGUUGGGCUAUGUUCACACUGCAGGUCAAUUCCGAUUUUUUAACCAUAUGUGACACAUAUCUGAUUUUUUCAUGUAAGUGUGAACAGUGCAAUUCAGAUUUUUUUCAGAUCUGACCCACGUCUCUUUUGUAUGUGGAUAUAAAUGUAUAUAUGUAAUGUGGACGACCGCACAAAAAGAUCGGAUUUAACAAAAAAUCUGAAUUGUGAAUCACAACCUGAAGUGUGAACACAGCCUUAGUCACAGCUUAGGGGUGUUACUUUUUACACAGCUUUGUGACCUGAAGGUUAGGCCUUCGUGAGAUGAAUGUUGCCAACUGCUUGCUUCUCUAGUUAUACCAGCUUUAGUAUUGACCGCACAAUAGCAAUACACAGCGGUCUACGUCUCUACACGCAAACCUUAAUCAAAAAGCCACUCUAUAGCCACAGAUAAUGCUCAGAACAGCACCUAACUUCAUCAACAGUACAUAUAGUGUCCCAGACAUAGUGCAAGCCAUCAAACAUCUCUUUAGCUUUGCCCGAUUUCUUUAGCAAAGAGACCAAACACAACUCACCCACUCUCCUCCAGCAGCCGUUUAUUUGCAGCGGCUCAUUUCCAUAAAGUAAUAACCAUCAUAUUAAACAUUUUGCUCUGCAGACGCGGUAGUUCUGCUGCCUUAGCGUCUUGGUCUGAUUGCAUUUCCAUAAAGUAAUGAUCAUAAAUGUUCUUCCUUGAGCUGCGAAACUCCACUGCACUCAGUGAUCCACUCACCAGGGCUCCCCCCACAAACAAGCGGCUGAUGGAAGAGAGUAGGUGAGUUGUGUUUAGUCUCUUCGCUAAAGAAAAAGCUAAAAAGAUGUUUGAUGGCUAGUACUAUGGCUAGGACCCUAUAUGUACUGUUGAUGAAGUUAGGUGCUGUUCUGAGCAUUAUUUGUGGCUAUAGAGUGGCUUUUUGAUUGAGGUUUGUGCAUAGAGAUGUAGACCGCUGUGUAUUGCUAUCUUGGGGUUGUUACUAAAGUUGGUAUAACUAGAGAAGCAAGCAGUCGGCAACAUUCAUCUCUUGAGGGGUUUUCUAACUCUGUGUCACGGUGUGUUUGACCCUAAGUUAAUUUUACACCAGAAUAUCCCUUUAAUGUGCAUUAGCUAUGGCACUUCUCUGUGCUGUUGUUAGUUGUUUCCAGCUCUGAGCUUCUUUCUGGUCUUUCAAGGUGAUCAGCUCCAGAUUUCAGUUACAGCUGAGACUCAAAUCAAGCUCGUCUUCAUCUUUGUGAAGAGGAAACAGCUGUGACCUUCCUUCAGGACCAAAAGAGGACUUUAGAGACAGGCUGGACCAACAGAGAGCAGAGAGGAGGAGAAAGACCAGCAGGGACACGGUCUUAACAGGUGAGAGGGUGCAGGGUGGACACAUCUUCCAACACAUUGGACAGCAGAGCCUAAUGUGAGAUUGAGACAAAGUCUUGAAAAGUUCUCAAAAUGAGCUGUCGGAGAAAGGCCAGAAAACCCAAUCUGGGACGAUUGAUGAUCCCAAAACUGUUCGAUCAGUUUAGGUUUCAGUCUGACUGCUCCAGACCACGUAUCAGUCUGUGAAAUAUCAGUUUAUCAGAUCCUGUUAGGCAUGACUCAGCAUUAUGAGACACAUCUGGAAAACAUCUGAGCUUUGUGUUUGUGUGAGCUCAUAAACUUUAUCAGAGUUUGUCCUUGUUUCUUUAAUAAGAGGUCAAACUCUCAGAGUUAUUCAGUGUGAUUCUCCACAGCUGGGUCUCUGCGCUCAUGGUCCUUCAGUCCUCCAGCUCUCUGUUUUACACUCUUUUAUCUCCUGUUUCUGGGACGCCCUCAGACGCUCACACGCAGCUUUACUGUUCUUUAAACAGCUGAUGUGAGCUCCUCUCCUCCCUCUCAGACAUAUCUUCAGUCUUUCCUCACAGUCAGACACUUUCAGUUUUCCUCUCUCUACUCCUGGCUUGCCGCCCUCUUUCUGAUCUUUGUCAAAUGUGGGACUUUGUAGACGUCUUCUUGGCCCAGCAGACAGGAAAGAUUAAACAUGAUGACUCUAAGACCAAAGAGAGGUCAGAGACUCGUCCAAACACUCAAGUCAGUGAAUCAUCGCAGAGUCGUCCUGGUCGGUGGGUUGGAGAGACGCAGAGAUAUGUAAAGAUCCUUCAGAAGAGAGCUGCCAAGUCCUCCACAUGAAGUCACGCUCUUGCUGAACCUCCACUAACACUUUAAAGUCAUGAACCAGUCAGUAAACUGACAUGUUAGCAUGGAAACCAGGUCAGCUCAGGGUGCUGAUCAGAGAUGCUCACUGAUGAAGCUCCUCCCCCAUCCUGCUCCAACACACCUGAUUCAAAUGAUUAGAUCGUUAGUAAGCCAUUACAGAGCUUGAUAACGAGCUGAUCAUUUGAAUCAGGUGUGUUGGAGAAGGGAAACAUCCAAAACAUGCAGGACAGUGGGCCUCCAGGACUGUAUGUGUGUGUGUCUGCAGACACAGCCAUGAGAGUGUGUGUGAAGACUGAGUGUGUUGUGUCUUUAAACUGUGUGUAGAUGUUGACUCAUCACUGAUUCAGAGUAAACAGUUGUCAAGUUUUGGCUGCAGAUUUGGGGAAACUUCUGCUGCAGAUGAAGAAAACCUCAAGAUCUAAUCAGGUUUGCAUUUGAAGAAAUGCUUUCAUGUGUCAUGGAUAUUCAAGCUAAAGUCUUUAUUUGUAAUUAUUAAAAACAUUUUGUGAAAGUUUUUUAGUUGCAUUUCUGUAGCGGUCGGUUGGGGCCGGGAAAGAAAUUGAUACAGCAUGGUAUCACAAUAUUUUGUCUGGCGAUAUAAUGUAUUUACUCAUUGACCAAGCAUCAGUUUUUCAAAUUAAUUGCUAAUAUGAAGUCAAAUCAAUGAUACUGGAAAAAUAAAAUCAACUGUUUAUCCAGUGAGUUUUUGCAGAUGUCACAUAAUGGAGCAGGAAAAAGUUGGUUCAACAAAUACAUAUAAGGUUUGCAAGAUGUGCUAUAUGAAAAUAAAAUACAGUGUAAAUAAGGCUAUGUUCACAAUGCAGAUCAAUUCCGAUUUUUUAACCAUAUGUGACACAUAUCUGAUAUUUUAAUCUAAGUGUGAACAGUGUAAUUCAGAUUUUUUCAAAUCUGACUCAGGCCUCUUUUCGUUCACAUUAGAUUCGUUGUUGUAAUGUGAACGACCGCACAAAAAGAUUGGAUUUGACAAAAAAUCUGAAUUGUGCAUCAUAACCUGCAGUGUGAACGUAGUCUUAGACAAACACAAAGCAAAGACAAAUGCUAAAUUAGCUAAACAGUUGAGAAAAUUGUAAAAACCCCAAUAUAUUGUAUUGUGGCCUAAGUAUCGUGAUAAUAUCGUAUCAUGGGGCCACUAGUGAUUCCCAUCCCUAACGGUUUGCACAAUCAUCAAAUGUCUAUGCAGUUGACCUUCAGGGCUACUGUAGAAAUCAAUCCUGCUCAUGCAUGUGUUGAAAGUUGUAAUCUUCACAUUUAUCCUUUGCUUAGAGUAAAAGAGUGGGUUAUAAUUUGAAGAAUCUUUAAACUUUGUUGGUUUGAUGGCUGUAGAUUUGCUGGUUGGUGGAUUUUGUCUCCUUUUGACAGAGCUAGGUGAACUGCUUUCUACAGUGGCCCUAAGGUGCAAAACACAACGACAAAUCAGAAAACAUAACAGCGAAAGAGAAAACACAACGGCAAAUAGGAAAACACAAUGGAAAAAGACAAAACACAACGGUGAAUGUCGUUGUGUUUUCUGAUUUCUUGUUGUGUUUUCUCUAUCCGUGUUGUGUUUUCUGAUUUGCUUUUGUGUUUUGCACAUCAGGGCCACCGUAGCUUUCUGAGAGUUAUAAGAGCAGUUAGAGCUCUGAAUGAAAAAAACAAAAAAACUGAUGUGUUCCCAAAUAUCUACCCAGAUCUGCUGCAGCUCACAUUUAUCAUCUGUGGUUGGUCUGCUGCUGGUCUCAGUUCAUGAUUUCUUAAAAAUGAGAUAUUAAUGAUGUUCCAGUUCAUCAGCUCUGUUCAGGUGUUUUUACCCGACAGCUUUAACAUCUUUAAACCUGCAGAAACCAUCUCCACCUCCUCUGAGUUGACUGUCUGUGAUUUACUUGCUGAUGAUACGGAGGAUCCUGAUAGCAGGUGUUUCUAACUUGUUGAAACCUCCUCUUCCUCCUCUUGCAUGCGUAAAGCCUCUGAUUCUCUCUCCAUAUGUUCCUCUUCUCUUCCUCUCUCACAUCCAUUCAUGUGUUUCUGUUUCACAGAUUUAUGCUCGUCUCUCUCCCCUCUCUGAGUCCCGAUGUUCAUCUGCAGUCUCUGUUUUUAUGAUGCUGUUUCAGGUUUUUAGUUUGCUGUUAUGUAAAAGAGUCUGCAGGAAGAGGAAAGCCUAAAACUGUCACUCCACAUCGUGUAUCUUGCUUUUCUUUAAAGCAGCAGCUGGCUCUCUAGUUUGGGGGAAUCUUCGUGAUGUGUUUAGGUGCCCUCUCUCUCUCUCUCUCUCUCUCUCUCUCUCUCUCUCUCCAGCUUCAUGAAGGGUGUGGUGCAUUCACAGCCCAUGCUGAUGACAGGAAACCUCAGUGUCCUCUCUUGACAUGACCUGACUUGUCAUUAGAGUGCAAACAAAUGCGCCCUGUCGUUUGGACUGGGAGGAGCUUCACAGAGACAAAAGGCUCUAAAAGGCUGAGUCAGGGGAUUUAUAUUCAGGAUAACUACAUCUGAUUUCUGAUCUGUCAUCGUUCCAGAGUACCAACCCAGAAUCCAUUUAGGAUUGAUUUAUUAGCUUCAGUUUACUGGAUGCUGAGAAGCCUUCCACAUAGACUCUUGAAUGAACUGCAGGUCAGAUUUAGACUCCUUCCCCGAUGCUUCUCUGCUUGAUGGCAGCAACACGUGACAAAGAAGUUUGGAAAGGUGGCAAAAAUACUGAGAAAUUGGAGGAAUGCUCAUCAAACACCUAUUUGGAACAUUCCACAGGUGAGCAGGCUCAUUGGGAACAGGUGGGUGCCAUGAUUGGGGAUAAAAGCAGCUUCUCCAAAAAUUCUCAGUCAUUCACAAGCAAGGAUGGGGCGAGGUUCACCACUUUGUGAACAACUGCGUGAGCAAAUAGUCGAACAGUUUAAGAACGUUUCUCAAAGUACAAUUGCAAGGAAUUUAGGGAUUUCAACAUCUACGGUCCAU